GGACGGGAUAAGUGCUGAAAGCAUCUAAGCAUGAAGCCCCCCUCAAGAUGAGAUUUCCCAACUUCGGUUAUAAGAUCCCUCAAAGAUGAUGAGGUUAAUAGGUUCGAGGUGGAAGCAUGGUGACAUGUGGAGCUGACGAAUACUAAUCGAUCGAAGACUUAAUCAAAA
rnacentral:rRNA from 1 species